GACGAACGCUGGUUGCGUGCUUAACACAUGCAAGUCGAACGGAAAGGCCCUGCUUUUGUGGGGUGCUCGAGUGGCGAACGGGUGAGCAACACGUGAGUAACCUGCCCUUGACUUUGGGAUAACUUCAGGAAACUGGGGCUAAUACCGGAUAGGAGCUCCUGCUGCAUGGUGGGGGUUGGAAAGUUUCGGCGGUUGGGGAUGGACUCGCGGCUUAUCAGCUUGUUGGUGGGGUAGUGGCUUACCAAGGCUUUGACGGGUAGCCGGCCUGAGAGGGUGACCGGCCACAUUGGGACUGAGAUACGGCCCAGACUCCUACGGGAGGCAGCAGUGGGGAAUAUUGCACAAUGGGCGGAAGCCUGAUGCAGCAACGCCGCGUGCGGGAUGACGGCCUUCGGGUUGUAAACCGCUUUCGCCUGUGACGAAGCGUGAGUGACGGUAAUGGGUAAAGAAGCACCGGCUAACUACGUGCCAGCAGCCGCGGUGAUACGUAGGGUGCGAGCGUUGUCCGGAUUUAUUGGGCGUAAAGGGCUCGUAGGUGGUUGAUCGCGUCGGAAGUGUAAUUCUUGGGGCUUAACCCUGAGCGUGCUUUCGAUACGGGUUGACUUGAGGAAAGUAAGGGGAGAAUGGAAUUCCUGGUGGAGCGGUGGAAUGCGCAGAUAUCAGGAGGAACACCAGUGGCGAAGGCGGUUCUCUGGGCCUUUCCUGACGCUGAGGAGCGAAAGCGUGGGGAGCGAACAGGCUUAGAUACCCUGGUAGUCCACGCUGUAAACGGUGGGUACUAGGUGUGGGGUCCAUUCCACGGGUUCCGUGCCGUAGCUAACGCUUUAAGUACCCCGCCUGGGGAGUACGGCCGCAAGGCUAAAACUCAAAGGAAUUGACGGGGCCCCGCACAAGCGGCGGAGCAUGCGGAUUAAUUCGAUGCAACGCGUAGAACCUUACCUGGGUUUGACAUGGAUCGGGAGUGCCCAGAGAUGGGUGUGCCUCUUUUGGGGUCGGUUCACAGGUGGUGCAUGGCUGUCGUCAGCUCGUGUCGUGAGAUGUUGGGUUAAGUCCCGCAACGAGCGCAACCCUUGUUCACUGUUGCCAGCACGUUAUGGUGGGGACUCAGUGGAGACCGCCGGGGUCAACUCGGAGGAAGGUGGGGAUGACGUCAAGUCAUCAUGCCCCUUAUGUCCAGGGCUUCACGCAUGCUACAAUGGCUGGUACAGAGAGUGGCGAGCCUGUGAGGGUGAGCGAAUCUCGGAAAGCCGGUCUCAGUUCGGAUUGGGGUCUGCAACUCGACCUCAUGAAGUCGGAGUCGCUAGUAAUCGCAGAUCAGCAACGCUGCGGUGAAUACGUUCCCGGG
rnacentral:rRNA from 1 species